AUUAGAGGGGUGCCUUCUUGCUGCUCUGGCCAGCCUGGCAUCCGCAGGCCCGAGAGCACCCAUCUGUUGAAGCUGAGCAGGGGAGAAGCUGAGCGUGCUCGCAGGAGUCCCGGUGCUGAGUGACCCCCCUCAGCUCACUGGAGAGUCUGACCUGUGUCAGCUCCCAGAGAGCUGAAGCAGGACGGGUUUUCCUCCCCAUGCCUGAUUUUGCUGACUUGUGAUUUCCAGGCUGCUCUAAAAAGCCUUCAAAAAAAAAAAAAAAUUAUCCCACUGCAGAGAAGGCAGCCAGGCCACGUGGGGAGUCUGACCUCUGGGAUAACUUGGGAGAACCCCAACUUUAAACAAAGGCUGUGGUGCCUUAUAGUAACCAUGUCCACCAUCUCAAGACUCUUCCUGACAUCAAGGAGCCCUUUUAAAGUAUGUAUUGUCCACUGUGAUUCCUGCCUGAAGAAUACAGCAUUUCAAGGAUGAAAAGCUACAGCGGAUGUACUCAAUGUAAUACUCAAUGACAUAGUGAAGAAGUGAUUAGAAUUUUAACACUGUUUAAUAAUUAUAUAGCUUGAAAUUAUAUUUCAACACUCUUUGUAAAUCUCUUUCUGUUAACAUUCUGAAUUCAGUUAUUAUCCUUUUGGCACAUAUGAAUUUCUGCAUAGCAUUGGUGGCUGUAGAGUCCUCUGCAAGUCAGCACAACAUAGACUCUAGUCUUCUACAUUCCCAUUGAGUUACAUAGCUAGUAGAAUUGCUGCUAAAGGACAGAAAACGUUUAAUGUCAAUGAAGUUCUUAGGUUUGUGUGUGUGUAUUAAAUACAGGCACAUAACCAUAUUUUUAUAAUCCUAUGACAUAGUAAACUAUGAAAAUAACAAACAAUACGUUUUUCUCCCUCCACCCUAUUGGGUUGGCACCAAAUUGCAUUUGGUAACUAAACUUGACUAUGCUAACAUUACCAUUGAUAUUCUUAUUUAUCCCACUUAUUGUGAAUAUUGAGAAACAAUGUGUUAAAUUAUAAAGUAUGGAUGGAAAGUUUAUGUAAUAUAUGCUAUAUGCAAAAUCCAUUAACCGAGGUUUCAGAUAAGAGAUUGUAGAACUAUUAUUUUGGUUUUUUUCUGAUUUAAUGUGAUCAUUAUUUUCCUAUUUUCACCAACUCUAAAAGGUAUAUAUAUAUAUUAAAUAUACAUAUUUAAUAUCUACACAUUUUUGUGAAAUAAAACCUGAUGUUGUU
rnacentral:lncRNA from 1 species